UUAAGUCCCGCAACGAGCGCAACCCCUACUUGUUAGUUGCCAUCAUUCAGUUGGGCACUCUAGCGAGACUGCCGGUAAUAAACCGGAGGAAGGUGGGGAUGACGUCAAAUCAUCAUGCCCCUUAUGACCUGGGCUACACACGUGCUACAAUGGUUGGUACAACGAGUUGCGAGUCGGUGACGGCGAGCUAAUCUCUUAAAGCCAAUCUCAGUUCGGAUUGUAGGCUGCAACUCGCCUACAUGAAGUCGGAAUCGCUAGUAAUCGCGGAUCAGCACGCCGCGGUGAAUACGUUCCCGGGCCUU
rnacentral:rRNA from 1 species